rnacentral:rRNA from 1 species
CCUACGGGAGGCUGCAGUAGGGAAUAUUGGGCAAUGGAUGCAAGUCUGACCCAGCCAUGCCGCGUGCCGGAAGAAGGCCCUCAGGGUUGUAAACGGCUUUUAUUCGGGAAGAAGAAUAGGGAUGCGUCCUUAUGUGACGGUACCGAAUGAAUAAGCACCGGCUAACUCCGUGCCAGCAGCCGCGGUAAUACGGAGGGUGCGAGCGUUGUCCGGAUUUAUUGGGUUUAAAGGGUGCGUAGGUUGCCAAGUAAGUCAGUGGUGAAAUACAGCCGCGCAACGGUUGAGGUGCCAUUGAUACUGUUUGGCUUGAAAUAAUUGGAGGCUGCCGGAAUGGAUGGUGUAGCGGUGAAAUGCAUAGAUAUCAUCCAGAACACCGAUUGCGAAGGCAGGUGGCUACGAUUGGUUUGACACGGAGGCACGAAAGCAUGGGGAGUAAACAGGAUUAGAUACCCAGGUAGUC